rnacentral:rRNA from 1 species
UCGAGAAUCUUCGGCAAUGGGCGCAAGCCUGACCGAGCGACGCCGCGUGCGAGAUGAAGGCCUUCGGGUUGUAAAUCGCUGUCAGAGGGGAGGAAAUGCCGGUGGGUUCUCCCACCGGUUUGACCUAUCCUCAGAGGAAGGACGGGCUAAGUUCGUGCCAGCAGCCGCGGUAAGACGAACCGUCCAAACGUUAUUCGGAAUCACUGGGCUUAAAGGGUGCGUAGGCGGUCCGGGAAGUUGGGUGUGAAAGCCCUCGGCUCAACCGAGGAAUUGCGCCCAAAACUGCCGGGCUUGAGGGAGACAUAGGUGAGCGGAACUUAGGGUGGAGCGGUGAAAUGCGUUGAGAUCCUAAGGAACACCAGUAGCGAAAGCGGCUCACUGGGUCUCUUCUGACGCUGAAGCACGAAAGCUAGGGGAGCGAAGAG